CCCAGCUGUAUACAAUUGCUUAGGUUACAUUGUACCUGGACAAGUGUUACACAGCUGGGGAAAAAGCAGCUAAUAGCUGGAGGGCAUCCUGGGCCAGGUUUAUGCCAAAUU
rnacentral:snoRNA from 1 species